CCGCCGGUGACUGCGGGUCUGAAGGAAGCGAUAGGAGGACGAUGGAACGUAGCGAAAGCGAACCCGAUUCGGCUGCCGGCGGGGGCGAGCGUGCAAAAAGUCGCGAUGCCCGAUACAUGAACAGCCGCCGGAAGUGUUUGGGGACGUCAUCAUCGUCAGGGAGCCAGU
rnacentral:ncRNA from 1 species